UUUCUGUCUUCAAAUUCAAAUUUGUGGGAUUUGCCUUCUUCUGUGCAUAUUUCAAGUGCACAAUUAUCUAUGGGCAUUAUACUUGUUUUUGAGAAUUUUUCUUAUUAAUUCUUUUUUGCCCAACUUAAAACAGUGGUCAUUCACAGUCUCCUAGGUGUGUGGGCCACUAAUUACUUUAUCCCCAUCCAUUAUUUCUACAUUCUUAUGCUUUUGUAUCUCCCCCCUUGUUUCCUAUUUUAUGACACCUUAAACUGCUUCACGUGUGUUAUUAUUUUUGUCAUUAAAUAACCUUUUACAGCAGUUAAUACUCUUUUUGUACUUGUGACAAAAGUUCAAUACUCUUUUUCAUGAAUCUGAGGUACUUAAGGGUUUGGGAGGACUUUUUUCUAUAUGUAUUUGUUUUAGUCAGUCAUUGGUACUGAUGUGGGCACUUUCAAAAAUUUAUUUCCAAAGUUGCACUUAAAUAAUGCUGAGAACUGAGAGAACUGGCAUUUUUGUUGGUUUCUCUACACGCCUAAGUCCAGCUUCGGUUUUACAGACCAGAUUUUACAUCUAUAUGUGUAUUCUGCAUGUCAGUGAGAAAUAUGAGGCUGAGGGUAUUGUACCACAGGUGUCAUUGUCACGCAUCUUUAUUAUUUGGCACAAAUGGUCUGAGAUACCAAGAUCUUUUACAAUUACACCACACUUUUUCCUGUCGACAUUUGUGGCCACUUGAUCAGUUACUGAUGAUGCUGUUAUUGUAUUUAAGGUUGUUGCAGAGAUGACAAGAUUGUGAAGGCUGUUUAUAAUGCAUCUCAUAGCUUCAUCUGUGAUAUUUGUAUUUAUAGCUCCACACAAAAUAAUGUUAACUUUUCUGAUUAAGACUGUAUACAUAACUUAAUUUAUUGAAGAGAAGUAUCCACACUACCACUAGGUGAUAAAUUCACGUGCAAAGCAGAUUAAGUAUGGUCAAUGCCAAAUCCUUUUUAUUCAAUGGCCAAUAUUUCAAAAUCUGUCUUUCGAACAACUUACAUGAAUGCAGCUGAGUGACAUCUUCGACAGCUGUGGCGCGAGGAACUAGCCAUGUAGUUGGCAGCAUUGAAACCUGCAUGUUUUUCAGAUAUGUGGACAAUACUUGUGUCCUCUUGGAAAUGACAGUUUAAACAGCUUUCUAAAUCAUCUAAAUUUGAUACACCCAAAUAUUCACUUCUCAAUGGAAGUUAAAAAGGAUGUUCCAUUCCUAAAUGUGUUUUUCAAGAGUGGUAUGACGGGACAUUCCAUUUGUACAUUUCUCGAGUUAAACAUGCCUUGCAUAUUUUCAUUCUGUGAACACAUUACACUUUUCAUUCUUGCACUACGUAAUGUUCAAUUGGGUAAAUCAAUCAUAGUAGGAUGGGGAAGACAGCAAGCCAUGUAGCACACACAAAACAAUUGCCAAAUAACAUUAAUGGUUAUGUAGCUAAAAAUAUAAAUUUGCUUAUGGGAAUGGAUAACUAAGACUGAAAUUUCAAAAAGGACAACCAUUGGCAAAGUGUAUAGAAUGUACAAAUAGAAUUUGUUACUGUAGUGUGAAGGAAACAAUUAGUUUUCUCCAUGUACACCAGAAAUGAGAAAUGUGGGACGAAAAAAAAAAAAAAAAAAAAGGAAAACACGCACACAUUAUCAGAAUGCAGUGAACAAAAGGCAUGUCGGAAGAAGAAAUGAAAGAACUUGAUUUUGGAAACGCUUAAGACAUGUAGGGAUUAAAAUGUAGCUCAAGUGUAGAUACUGAUACUUUCUUUAAUUGAGUAUUUGUAACAGCAUCGAAGCACGAAAUGCCAAUCUUCCUGCCUCUACUCUGGCAAGAUUUUUUACAGUGCAUCCUAAACCUCACUGAUUACAGGCGACUCUGUAUUGUAUAUCUAUUGAUCAUUUGGUACAUUGUUUCUGUACAGUUAAAACAGCUAAAUUUACAAAACUAUAUACCCAUUAGUGAGUGAAAAUACUGCAACUAAGUACUGACAUCACUUCCAUGCUGUUUGCUUCAGUGGUCAAAGACAACUACUUGUAUCCAAUAGUAAACUAUAUCCAUUUGUGUAUGAAUAAACUGAUCUUGAUUGUACUAGUUUAUGAACUGUUGUGACAAGGUAAUUGGUUUUUGCGCUAAAUUCUGUUGGUUUUUCAUAAUACUAUCAUUCAUAUUUUACAUAGGCCUGCUACUGAAGUUCCCAUGUACAUCAGUGGCCUACCCCAUAUAUGUGCAGUGACAUGAUUGUAGAUUUAAUUAAAAGUCUGUUUUUACCAGACAAGACAGGCUUCUACUACAGCCACACAAAAGACAACAUACCGAUACAGUUUUUUGGCCCUGUUUUCUGUGUUGAAAGCAUAGUAAAAAGAGUGCGUACUCUUGGCCCGUUAUAUCAUAAAAAGGAGACUCCUGUUGCAGAUCAUCUGGUGGACCAUGUUAACCCAAAAAAAAGAGGAGAAAAGUUAUCAUGGACACACAAAAGAAAGGCUGUCCAGCAACAUUGGACGUUAAGAGUGUCAGGGUAUUCCCCGAUUAUUCGAUAAACUCAGCAACAGACAGUUAAAAAAAAAAAAAAAAUUCACAGGUACUCUGCGUUCUUGUGCCACAUUUAAAAGCAACAUUCAGAUCAGCUUUUUUGGUUCUUUUGUAUUGCAUGGGAGCAAUGGACAAGCCACAAGUAAAGUUUACAAGAGAGUUGCAGUUGCAGAUCACCUUGGCAACAUCAAGGUGACACAGUUGUCUUCUCCCAGCAGCGAGAGGCAAUAUUGUGAUCAUUCCUCUGAACCUCCUUCUCUCGUGGAAAGUGUAAUUGACACACAAUGCAUACCCAGGUGGGGUAGUCCCUACAGUUAAAAAUAAGGUUGCUGUGGCACAUUAACUGGUUGUGUAUCAUCAAGACCGUAUCAGUCCAAGGGAAAAUAUAGUGAACACAAAUGAGAGAGUGCUCAGCUACAGUUUCAGACAAAUGGCUGAAUUUUCCAGAUUUUCUGUUCAGUGAACAAAUUACCACAUGGAGACAGAAGUUGCUGCAGAAGUGGCCUUGGUGUUCAAGCAAGACAGAAAGGCAAAUUUCUGAACCUUUUUUUUUUAUCAUGAUGCUAUUACAUCAUCCUCAGGAUAUGAUGUAGCUAGUGCCACAUUCUCAAAGUCUGUCAAUGUUUAUAGUGCUGUAGGUCAGGUUUAUAACCAGCCUAGCCAACUGCCUUUCAUCUUGUUCCUCUGAUGAAGUUGAGCUUCUGGGAUUGUCACUGCCUUGGUUUACUGCCUCCUCACUGCUGUGGACUAUGUAUGUGAAUUGGACAUAUGAAGAAAUGUCAUUGUUUUAUUAUCCUUUUUGAGUGAAAACUAAAUGUUACAGAUAAUAAAACAAUGUGGUAUCAAUAACUAUGAACAGUUUUCUA